GUCAAAAUCAGGCAUGCAAGGCACAAUGUAGCAAGGGAAGUAGGCAGCUCUCAUGUGGGCAGGGGCCCAUUUCAGUGGAACAAGGUCCCUUCUCCUGGCUUUGCUGAAGAUAUAGGCCUCAUUAUCAGCCCUUCUGUCUAGGUGACAAUGUUUGCAUGAGGGCUGGUCAUUGCUCACAACACACAGCAGCUUGUUGCUUGGCAAUACAUUGCCUCCACUGGCAUUAUUUCCUCACAGACCUGAGGCACAUGCAUCUGUGAUGUAUGUUCUCUCCAGGGGCUAUUUAUAAGGGGAGGAGAUCAGGGCUCAAGCAACGAUGGAAGGAGGGUCCUGACAGUGACACCUGGAAUGAUAUAGGACUCGGGACCAUGGACAGGCAGUCCUCAGGAAGGCGUUGGGGGCAGAUUAUCGGCCACGACCCCAGCAGAUGGAGAAGGAACCUGAGACCAGCUGGGCACCUGGCUUGGUGGGGUGUCUCGGCUUGUGUGUGUGGGGUGAUAGCCGAGGAGAUGCAGUGUGGUUUGGAAGGGAUGAUGAACCUUGUGACCAAGAGGAACCAGCUCAUGGAGAAGGUGGAGACAUGCUUCCUGUUAUCUGCUGCCUUUGGAUCAACAUAAAUGGUGGAUAUGAAGAUGCUAGAGAUCCCAAUCCCUUUGGCAGCAGUGUGGCUGCAUUUUUCUCAGUGUGGUGCCAAGGACUUUGAGACAGCCCAGGGCACUCAGGAGAAGAAACAACAGUCGUUAUAGAAUAAAAUGGCCAAAGUCUCUUCCAGCUGUCAGCUGUUGGCCAACUUAUUGGCGAGAUAUUACAGAAGAGACCUCAGCAGCUUGCUGUAACACAGAAAAGCCUUUUCUCCAGGGCCCUGGGGGCCGUGUGUUGCCUGGCACUCCUCUGACUCUGUGCUGGACAAGAUGCUCCUGAACCUUCUUGCUGUGCCUGUGAGCAAAGAGACGGCAGGGUUUCACUCCACGACCCCUCCGUGUUUCUGCCAUCAGACUGGCAGGCUUCGGACCUGCCGCAUCUCCAUUGGUAAGAAGUACGGAGUGGAGAGGAACACCUGGGAAUAUGGCUCUGUCUCUGUAAUAAUCUCCCUCUGUUCGUCUCCCCCCGUCUCGGAAUCAAGGCUCUCCCUACAGUCGUUUACAACGUGCUUGGAAGGAAAGAUGAGACACACGGACUUACAGCUCGGUUUCCCUUCUCUUCCCAAAAUGAAAAAUAAAUUGAUGUGCUGACAAAUGAUUGCCAGCGGGACUCUGCCAGCUUCUUGGAUGGAUGCCUGCAGUCACUUGUCCACACAGCUCAGCCAGGGCCCCAUGAUGGGACAGGACAGGGCAUGGACUCCAGUGACCGUUUGGAAAUCAACUGCUUGGAACUACAGAGUUGGUACAACCAUCAGAAAGCUACUUCACCCUGGUUUGGUUGUGGUACCUGAAGCCUGAGUCUGUCUCCAAGGCUCUCAGCGUUGGGCUGGAGCCCUGGGGCUUUGCUGGAAUGGGACUGGGAGGGAGAAGUAGUUGAGAGAUGACCCAGAGCAGCGGCCAGGUUGCAGGGUGGGGCUGCUGUUGGGGAGGGGACGGGAAAUUCACCUCCGACAGGGAACAAAAGGUUGUGAUUCAGGAAGUCCCCCGUGACCAGGGAGGGACAGGCAGCACUUUUGUUGGCUGGCUACAGAUGGCUGGUGGCACCUGGUGACUCCCUUCCAAAAAGCUGGGUCCGUGGGAUGUGCCAGGGUCAGUUCCAACCUACCCCACAGAAGAAGCACAGAGACCUGGUGGGGUUACCCACCUCCCAGAGUUAAGGGACAGCCUCUGAUUUUGAUGGGGAAAGCCAGGAGUGUGGUGGGACAGGGAUUGCAGUCUCUGGCCUUGAGGUGGGCCUCGCCUUCUAGUGGGGACCCUUGGGUGGGGUGUUAUCUUCUGGUGGAAUCGUAAAGGGCAUGCCUGAAAAGGCCAGCUCCACCCACUCCCGUUCCUCUGGGUUGAGGAGCAAUGCCUGCCCUUUGGUUGCUGGCUAAGGGGUACAUCCUUGCUGGGACUAUCCUGGAAGCCCUGGGUCUCCUUCCACCACGUAGGAAGCUUCCAUUUCCAAUUCAGAGGGUGGGGAGCUUGAUCGGCUCUCCAGGUGAGAGGGAGCCUCUUCCUUUGGCUCGACCUAUUCAGUGCCAGCACUUUCUGCUCCAGGGGUCUCCCCCUCCCAGAGCAAUUCCUGAACUGUAAGAAAAAGCAGAGCCAGUCCAGAACUCUGCUGGGGAGCUGACUAUGUGGCCU
rnacentral:lncRNA from 12 species